AACGCGUCGGGUAAUCUACCUCCGAAUCGGGGAUAACCCGCCGAAAGGCGAGCUAAUACCGGAUAAUAUCUUUAAAACUUAGGUUUUUAAGAUCAAAGGUGGUCUCUACAUGUAAGCUGCUGUUUGGAGAUGAGCCCGCGUACCAUUAGCUUGUUGGUAGGGUAAUGGCCUACCAAGGCCGCGAUGGUUAGCUGGUCUGAGAGGAUGAUCAGCCACACUGGAACUGACACACGGUCCAG
rnacentral:rRNA from 1 species